rnacentral:lncRNA from 1 species
GAGGUUACGAUGAGAAGAUGGCCAUCUGUGAACCAGGAAGCAGCUCCUCACCAGACACUGGACCUGCUGGCACCUUGACCUUGGACUUCCAGCCGCCAGACUGAAGAUUAACCUUGAGCUAACAUCUGUGCCCAUCUUCCUCUAUCGUGCAUGUGGGACGCCUGCCACAGCAUGGCUUGGACACUGAGGUCCUGCCCUGCAGGAAGGUACAGUGACAAUCACCCAGGGACUGCACGGACCAGAUUAUAAACUCUUGGAAGGCACAGUCAGUGUUUUGGACAAAUUUGUUUCCCCUGCUGAAUUGAACAUGUUGAAUGAAUGCAUAAGAAAAUAUUCACAGCUAGAGUGACCCCCCCAAAAAGGCUGAGCCCAUUUUUAUUUCCUAUUAGGAGAAGUGUUUGUUUCCCAAAUUUGAUUCUGAAGAGAUGAAGAAGUUUUAUGAAGAUGCUUGGGACAUUUGCACUUGACUAAACAUAUGAAAACGACGAACUCUGCUCACCAGGAGCAAAAAGGGGACAGAAAGGAGCUGGAGAGACUGUUCUUUGCAUGAUGAGGCCUGGCUUUGAGGACGGAGAGGAGAUGGCUGCUGGAGCUUGGGCUUGGGCAGGAGAGCAGAGAGCUGUCUCCUGCUCAGAACCACACAGAGCUGGAAACAGACUAGACCUGAGGAACCACGCUGCCCUAACUCUUCCUUUUGCAGAUGAAUAAACCAAGAUCCAGGGAGAUCGUCUUGCCCCAGAUCACUUAGCUGGACGGUGGCACAGCCUAGAUUGAAUAGUUCUCAAAUAAAGUAGUGAAUGAAGCAAUGUAUUAAAACCUUUCUGCAGAG